rnacentral:rRNA from 1 species
UACGGAGGGUGCAAGCGUUAAUCGGAAUUACUGGGCGUAAAGCGUGCGUAGGCGGUUCGUUAAGUCUGCUGUGAAAGCCCCGGGCUCAACCUGGGAAUGGCAGUGGAUACUGGCGAGCUAGAGUGUGAUAGAGGAUGGUGGAAUUCCCGGUGUAGCGGUGAAAUGCGUAGAGAUCGGGGAGGAACAUCAGUGGCGAAGGCGGCCAUCUGGAUCAACACUGGACGCUGAGGGUGCGAAAGCGUGGGGAGCAAACAGG